CCCUAGGUCUCUUGCCUUGCCUGUCUUCCUGGGUCACGAUCCAGGACAGAGGAACGCAAACUUAUGCAUCAAGUUGCUGACUGCUACUACUCUUAAAUAUUAUUGUCGUAUUACAUAUAUAAGAUAUAGUGCUGUGAUACGGCUGACAUUGCAAGGUACCACAGAUCAGGUGUCUUCAACAACAAAGAUGUACUCUCUCACAGUCCUAGAAGCUGUACACCCAAAGUAAUAGGAUAACUGUUGUCUCAAAUAGACUACCUGUCUCAAGAAAACCAAACACUACAACAAAUAUUCUGAGCCAAAGCUCUCUUCCCUCCUGCAAAACCACCUAAGUCGAAAGUUCUAAUACUGAAGAUCAGAUCGUAUGAUAUUGCCCUUGAAGGGUCCCAAGGAGAAAAUUCUGCUAAGUCAGUAUUCACUUCGCCAAUGGAAAGGACUAGUAAUUUAAACAGGUAAAACUCAGAAGAUCCUAAAAUGCAGAAGGAGAUAUUUGGACACUUCUUUGCCUAAGAUAAGAUCUGUCAUGGAAUUUCCUAAACACAGUCUGCUGUCAAAGGCUGCUUUGGGAAACCACACCUGAGACAGUUUGUACCAGAAGGAACCUGAGAAAGCACAUACUAAAUUGGAACUUUGGAUUUGUAACCUCCUAACUGACUGACAAAGAGGACUGAAAGGUGAUUCUAGAAACUUCCAACUUGUGCAACCUGUGUGCUGAGAUUUCUGUGGACUUCUACUAUCCAGAUUCACCACUGGGUAAGCUGAUACAAGCGCUCUUUCAGAAUGUUGGCUUGAGUCCAACCAAGAGGGAAACAGAGGAAGUUCUUUGCUUCAUUCAAGAGAGGUUCAUCAAACAGUUAACCAAAGGAACAGUGCACCCAGAGAGUCCUUGUCUUGGGUUGAAAUUGGAACACCCAUCAGAUCAACAAAGACUGCAACAGAAAAGAGAGUUGGACUUCUUUGAAUAGGGACCAAUGGAAUAAAAUAGAAAACCCAGAAAUAAACAUAUGUAUUUAUGGACACCUCAUCUUUGACAAAGGAGCAAAGAAUGUGCAAUGGAACAAGGACAGUUUGUUAAAUAAAUGGUGCUGGGAAAACUGGCCUGCUAAAUGCAAAAGAAUGAAGCUAAACCACUACCUUACAUCAUACAGAAAAACCAACUCAAAAUGGAUACAAGAAUUGAACGUAGGACCUGAAACUGUAAAAUAUAUACAAGAAAAUAUAGGCAACUCCAUUGUACAUCUCUAUAACAUCUUUAAAGACAUGUCCCCAAAAAGAUGAGCAGCUGGGAUUACAUCAAGCUAAAAAGCUUCUGUACAGCAAAAGAGACAUUACCAAAGCAAACACACCCUACUGAUUGGAGAAAAGUUUUGCACACAAUACAACUGAUAAAGGAUUGAUCACUAAGAGGUGAUGCAACCGUCUCUAAAGAGGAAAUAAACAGGAAAUCUGCUAGCAAACUUCCUUAAUACAUGAAGUGCAACACUUCUUUGUAUCACCAGUCUGCAGUUGCUGGAAUUUCUUACUUAUCAGUCUCCAUUAUCUUAUGAACUAAUUCCUUGAAAGAGAACUCUCUAUAAAAAU